rnacentral:rRNA from 1 species
AUGGUAUUGGGCUACUCCCCGACGCAGGCCCUCGACAUUGCCAACCGCCUUAACUGCCGCCUUGGCUCCUUCCCCACAACCUACUUGGGCACGCCCAUCAGUGACUCUCGGCUUACAGUCGCUGACUUGCGUCCGACCGUAGCCAAGUUGCAGACUCGCAUUGAGCCAUGGCAGGGUAGGUGGCUGUCCAAGGCGGCCCAGACGAUUCUCAUCAACUCAUCCCUCUCCAGCCUCCUCUUGUUCCUCAUGAGCUUCUACAGCCUUCACGAGACUCUUCACCAUGAGAUCGCCAAAAUCCAAUCUCGACUCUAUUGGGAUGGCGAUAAUAAUAAGCAAAAGUACCAUAUGAUUAGUUGGCCUGACAUCUGCAAGCCCCGUGAUCAAGGAGGCCUCGGUAUCAUGUGCUCUAAGCGCAUGAAUAUUACCCUCAUUUCCCACUGGCUUUGGCGCAUUUCGCAAGGGCACUGCGGCCUCUGGUUAGACAUCAUCCGGAACAAGUACCUGCGUGGGCAACCCCUGGCCUUCUGUCAAAGGUCCGGCGGUUCCUAG